AACGAACGCUGGCGGCGUGGCUAAGACAUGCAAGUCGAACGGACUGUUCAAUUUAUUGUUCAGUUAGUGGCGAAAGGGUUAGUAACGGAUGGGUAACGUACCCUGUGCUUUGGGAUAGCGUCAGUUACUUCGGUAACUUUCCGAAAGGGGCGGUAAUACCAGAUAAUAUCAUUUGUCGAUAGGCAGAUGAUCAAAGAUUUAUCGGCACGGGAGCGGCCUGUCUCCUAUCAGCUUGUUGGUGAGGUAACGGCUCACCAAGGCAACGACGGGUAGCGGGACUGAGAGGUUGACCCGCAACAUCGGGACUGAGACACUGCCCGGACCUCCACGGAGGGCUGCAGUAACGGAUAUUGUGCAAUGGGCGAAAGCCUGACACAGCGACGCCGCGUGUAGGAGGAAGUCUUUCGGGAUGUAAACUACUGUCAGGGGGAAGAAAGUGCGCUUCGGCGUAUUGAUCUACCCCAGAGGAAGUCACGGCUAACUUCGUGCCAGCAGCCGCGGUAAGACGAAGGUGGCAAGCGUUGUUCGGUAUUACUGGGCUUAAAGCGUGUGUAGGCGGAAAAGUAAGCGUCCUGUGAAAGCCCCCGGCUUAACCGGGGAAUUGCGUGACGAACUGCUUUUCUUGAGGCAAGUAGGGGUGCAUGGAACUCUUGGUGGAGCGGUGGAAUGCGUAGAUAUCAAGAGGAACGCCAGUGGAGAAAUCGGUG
rnacentral:rRNA from 1 species